rnacentral:rRNA from 1 species
AUACGUAGGGGGCGAGCGUUGUCCGGAAUGAUUGGGCGUAAAGGGCGCGUAGGCGGCGCGGUAAGUCUGGAGUGAAAGUCCUGCUUUCAAGGUGGGAAUUGCUUUGGAUACUGCCGCGCUUGAGUGCAGGAGAGGUUAUCGGAAUUCCCGGUGUAGCGGUGAAAUGCGUAGAGAUCGGGAGGAACACCAGUGGCGAAGGCGGGUAACUGGACUGCAACUGACGCUGAGGCGCGAAAGUGUGGGGAGCAAACAGGAUUAGAUACCCUGGUAGUCCACACUGUAAACGAUGAAUGCUAGGUGUAGAGGUAUCGACCCCUUUUGUGCCGGAGUCAACACAAUAAGCAUUCCGCCUGGGGAGUACGGCCGCAAGGUUGAAACUCAAAGGAAUUGACGGGG